GUUUCAAGAUUAUUUCACAUAUUCAAUUCAUCUUGUCGAUCCUGGACUAUGACCACAUGUUCCCUGUGGCAGGGUCAUCAACACCGACUAAUCUUCUUGCGGUGAGUCAUUCAGGACAAUCAAUUGCCAACGUAUCUGCCCCCAUUGGCGGGGACAUAGCCAGGUCGAUAGUUCAAUUAGUUCUCUAUUUCAUAUUUCAGUUAUAAAAACAUAAAGUGUCAAAACCAAAUAUCGUUCAUAUCUUAACCUCUUUCNNNNNNNNNNNNNNNNNNNNAAACCAAAUAUCGUUCAUAUCUUAACCUCUUUCAAUUUACCAGAUUCAACUCAACAGCCAAGGACUAUGACCACAUGUUUCCUGUGGCAGGGUCAUAUCACCGACUAUUCUUCUUGCGGUACCAAUGUAUUAGCCCCCAUUGGCAGGGUCCUCAACAUAGCUCGACUGCAAGUAUGAAUCUAUCUCAAGUCAUUAUCUUUUCUUACAUUAUGUUCAGUGUUUCAAGCCGAAAAAUACAAUGUCAGAGAAAUUAAAUACAAUUCAACCAGAAGCAAAUACGUCCAAUCAGAGUCAUACAAUAUUCUAAAAAUAUACAUAAUUCAAACCAGAAGCAAACACGUCCAAUCAGAGUCAUACAAUAUUCUAAAAAUAUACAUAUAAUCCAUGCAUCAAAUUCGUAAUCACAAAUAAUUCGAUUCGUAAAACAGAUAUUUACUUUGCCGAUAAAUCUAGUAAAGAGGUUACAUCACUUACCUUGCAAACGCGAUCCACAACAAAUCCAAUUAAUUCCGCAAAUCCCUCGCAGCACCUAAUAUUCAAAAACCAUAAUUUUCUUUUAAAAUUCAUCACAAUAUAUAUAUAAAACCUAAAUUUUAACAUUCUCCCAGGGCCGACCCUGCCGAAGUGUCUAGCACCCCGGGUUCAGGUUCGGAUCCGGGUUCAUACCCGUAAACCACCCUUCUUUUAUAUAUUUUAUUUUUUUUCUUUCUUUCUUUUCUUUUCUUUUUUUUUCCUUCUUCUUUCCUUUUUUUUUUUCUUUUCCCUUCUUCUCCCGAAUCCCCUCUUCUUCUUCGGCGAGACAGGGGACCCGUGAGCCCCCGCCCCCUCUUCUUCUUCCCUCUCGGUCGGACCCAAGGCAGCCGCGGUGGCUGGCCUUGGCAGCAGCAGGAGGUGGCGGAGCAAGCCCGGCCACCCCCGGCGACUGGCGGCGGCGAACACGCCGACGGCUAGGGCAGCCGUUUUGGAGCCAAAUCCGGCGAUCGGCCGGCCCCAACCCACCACACAUCGUGGCCAAGCUUCAGAAGAAAAGGAGAAGAAGGUGAGAGAUUCUUACCUCAGCCCCGACGAAGACCGGCGCCUCCCCCUCUCCGACGGAAAAGAAGAAGGAGACCACCCGCCACCCGGUGCCGUGGCUCCUCUCUCUCUCCCUCCUCUCCUCUCUCUCUCUCUCCCUCUCUCUCGGUGGCCACACGAAGAAGACCCUCCCCCCCUUUGCGUGCGGCGGCUCUCCUUCGGUGGGCUCAAANNNNNNNNNNNNNNNNNNNNNNNNNNNNNNNNNNNNCUCCUCCUUCUUCUUCGGGAUGGAGGUUCCAUCCCGCUGCCUCACGUGCGUUGCACGUGAGGCCAAGAUUUGGGACUGGGCCGGUCGAGUGGACCGGGCCCAGUUCCGGGUUCUUACA
rnacentral:lncRNA from 1 species